rnacentral:rRNA from 1 species
UUACCGAGUUUACAACUCCCAAACCCCUGUGAACAUACCACUUGUUGCCUCGGCGGAUCAGCCCGCUCCCGGUAAAACGGGACGGCCCGCCAGAGGACCCCUAAACUCUGUUUCUAUAUGUAACUUCUGAGUAAAACCAUAAAUAAAUCAAAACUUUCAACAACGGAUCUCUUGGUUCUGGCAUCGAUGAAGAACGCAGCAAAAUGCGAUAAGUAAUGUGAAUUGCAGAAUUCAGUGAAUCAUCGAAUCUUUGAACGCACAUUGCGCCCGCCAGUAUUCUGGCGGGCAUGCCUGUUCGAGCGUCAUUUCAACCCUCAAGCACAGCUUGGUGUUGGGACUCGCGUUAAUUCGCGUUCCUCAAAUUGAUUGGCGGUCACGUCGAGCUUCCAUAGCGUAGUAGUAAAACCCUCGUUACUGGUAAUCGUCGCGGCCACGCCGUUAAACCCCAACUUCUGAAUGUUGACCUCGGAUCAGGUAGGAAUACCCGCUGAACUUAAGCAUAUCAAUAAGCGGAGGAAAAGAAACCAACAGGGAUUGCCCUAGUAACGGCGAGUGAAGCGGCAACAGCUCAAAUUUGAAAUCUGGCUCUCGGGCCCGAGUUGUAAUUUGUAGAGGAUACUUUUGAUGCGGUGCCUUCCGAGUUCCCUGGAACGGGACGCCAUAGAGGGUGAGAGCCCCGUCUGGUUGGAUGCCAAAUCUCUGUAAAGUUCCUUCAACGAGUCGAGUAGUUUGGGAAUGCUGCUCUAAAUGGGAGGUAUAUGUCUUCUAAAGCUAAAUACCGGCCAGAGACCGAUAGCGCACAAGUAGAGUGAUCGAAAGAUGAAAAGCACUUUGAAAAGAGAGUUAAAAAGUACGUGAAAUUGUUGAAAGGGAAGCGUUUAUGACCAGACUUGGGCUUGGUUAAUCAUCUGGGGUUCUCCCCAGUGCACUUUUCCAGUCCAGGCCAGCAUCAGUUUUCCCCGGGGGAUAAAGGCGGCGGGAAUGUGGCUCUCUUCGGGGAGUGUUAUAGCCCACCGUGUAAUACCCUGGGGGGGACUGA